AUGGGCCCGGGGCGAAGCCGAAGCUCUGUGGCCGAUAGAUGGCAGCCGAGGGCGAAGGCGUCCCAGGCUGGGCUCAGGCGGCGCAACGCGAGCCCCCCUUGGAUGUCACACUCAAGGGAGACAGAGGAGUCUUGCACCAUGUGCGUAAUACGAACGUGGGACUGUGCAAUCCUCGGAUUGAAAAAAGGAAGGAGUGGAAAUAACCCCGACAAGUGCCAGGCUUGUUGGUGGUCAGGUACAGGUUGAUUCCAGCCCUGUGCUGAUCGCCUGUCUUUCUCCUACUAUAUAUAAUACAGCCCCGGUGCUGUCUCCCGUACUUACUGUAAAGGACCAUGAAAGAGGGAGUGGUUCAUCCUAGCUGCAAACAAGGGUGCUUUUUUUUUUUUUUUUUAAAGAAUUACGUUUUAUAGGUAUAUCUGGGCUAUACAAAGGAAUGUGAACGACUUUCAGAGAGACCAUUUCUGAGUGCAUUCGGUGUGUACUAAAAAGCUGGAAACCCCUAAAUACAUGCAGUAUCGAUAGAAAGCGAGUUUCUUGAAGAGUCACCUGCUAAACUCCACUAGAGUCAUCUCUACAGUGUAGGUGUUCAUCAUGCUUUUCCUGGAUUGAGGACUCAACUUCCUGAUUUAUCUUCUCCCCUCAUGUCUUGCCGACUUCAAACUUGUCUUCUUGCCUGUGGCAAGGCUGCUUUAACAGAAUAUGCUACUCAGUUGAAAGGGCAAAUCUUCAGAGGGAGAAAGUAUUUUGGUGAUUGACUGGAUGGGAGAGUGGAAAAUCAACAGCAUAAGGGACAUAUCAAAGUGAAGAAAAUAUUCUGAAGCUGAUUUAUGAUGAUGGUUGCGUAACUUGAUCUGAGAGUCAGCUGGAUGUAGGUAUAAUUGCUUCAAGCAUCACUCUUUCUGGGACCUGGGUAAAGGGGCAGAAUCUACCGCAGGGAAGGCUGCUUUCAUGAUGAAUGACAGGAGACAAGAGGCCAUGCUAAACCACACAGGAAAAUAAGAAACCUCUGCUUGAAUGUGGUGUAUGUUGUGCUCAUGAAUCAGAGCCCAAAAUCAAUGGCAUGAGGAAAUACACUUUAUUCUUAGUGAAGUCAUGGCAAAGAAGGGAAUGGAAGGAAGACCUGUGACAUUGGAAGCAGAAUUUUCUUAAUUUAUAAAUGGAAUUUACUCUUUUCUUCUUUUCACAAUAAAUUUAGAAUCCCAUUUUCAUGGGCUAUAAUUUGGGAAACAACGAUAAUUUAAAAAUGUAAUUCUCAGCUCUGGGUUCAUAUUAAAACCACAUGGGAUAUUUAAAAAAAAAUUUAUAUUGAUGCCUAGGCUCAACUUAGAUCAAAUGAAACAGAAUCUUUGGGGACAGGGCCCAUGCAUUAGUACUGCCUUCAUUUGAUCCAUGCAUAUAUAAGAAAAGGUUGAAAACUAUUGCUGUAGAGAAAUGAAAUAUGGCAAGAUAUUUUUCAUAGUCUUUAUUUCAACCUUUCUAACUAGACUUCAAUAUUUGUUUUAUAUCCCUAACCUUAAGACCAUUUCACUUCAAGCAUAUCUGAAUUUUAGUAUUGAAGUUUAAGUGGGCUUUAUUCUAAUAUUGUGGCCUUAUCAAGAUUCUAAAUUGUAUUUUCCUUGGGGUGAGUCUGUAGAGAAGAGAAGAUUAUAAAUACCUUUGUACAACUUUUAGUGCCCUUUCUUUCUCUGGUAUAUUAUUAUAUGGAAGAGAGAAUAUAUUUUGAAUAUCAAAUAUAUUAUGAUUAACAGUUAUGUUUUCCAGGAGGAGUAGAAAACACAAUAAGGUCUCAGUGUUCUACAUUUACAUAGUUUUAAAAAUGCAUAGCCAAUGAAUUGCAACAUUAUUUCAUAAAUGUUACAGGAUAUUAAAUCUUUUUGGCCUCAAACAUUUUGGUCACCUUAUAGGAAACUCUUAUUUUCACCAUAAAAUAAACAUCUAUUAUUUUGUUUGAGUUAUAUA